AUGAAGGCAUCCCAUUCCCAUUCCCUAUUGAUAAGUCCUCAAAAGGAGGCAAGGCGAGCAGAGGGUCCACAAUCGACCUUGCCAUUUCUAGUCUGUGUCAUUUGUAGCUCGCGUCGUAUGUUGAUGCUUCGAAUCGUGCUACUCCUGUUAUCGAGUCGGUCAAGUGGAAUACAAGAAUCUCUAACCAAUCCCCCA